UUGUUAUUAUAUAUAAAUAAAGAAAAAUAAAACAAAAGAUAUUUAGACAUGGAGAAUUACCCCCUCCUUAUUUUUAAGUCCCUCUAGCAUUAUUAAGGUACAUAUAUUUCCUUUAACGGACAAUAUAUCCUUCUGGAGGGCGUCUCCGUCAGAUUCAAGAAAAAAAGGAAAAAGAAAUGUGUGCAAGUGUUUCCAAGGUACUCCCUCCGUCCCCUUAUGUUAGCCCCCUUUGCUUUGUUCACAUUUCUUAAGAAAAGUUGUCGGUGUAAUUAAUGUGUAUGUUUUGUGUGUUAAUAUAGUUACAAAUUGUCCUUUGUUUGUAUGUGUAUUAAAUUCAACUUUUUUAAAUUUCAAGACAAGUUAGUUGUAUUAAUUAGGGGUAUGUUUAAGAAAAAAAUAAUAAAUACAUCUAGUAAGUUUUUUUUUUUGACAAGAAAUGCAUCUAGUAAGUUGAAAAGGGGUUUACAUUUAGGGACAAAAAUAAAAUCAAAUGGGUGCUUAGAUAUAGGGACGAAGGGAGUAUUUGCCCAUAUUUUUAUUUGAACUUGAUGAAAAAGGCCUUCAGAAAUGAGGAGCUUUCCAUUUCUGAGGUAUUUGAACUUGUUUAUGAAUUAUUGACUCAUCAAAAUUUAUGGUGAUUUUGUUUAUGAAUUGAGUUAAACUCUGGUUUCCAUUUCUUGUCCUCGUCAAUCCUCUCUGCUUUCGAAUUUGUAUUGUUGUUUGUCUAGCUUUCUUCUCUUUGUUUGGCUUUCUUUUCGUCCUCAAUCCUUUGCUUCUCCGUCUGUAUAGCUGUUUGUCUGGCUUUCUUCUCGUCCUCGAUCCUCGAUUCUCUGUAUUUUCCCUAUGUAUUGCCGUUUCUCUGGCUUUCUUCUUGUCCUCAAUCCUAUGUUUUUCCCUUCAUAUUGCCUUUUGUCUGGCUUUCUUUUCCUCUUCAAUCCUUUGUUUUUCCCUUUGUAUUGCUCCUUCUUCUCAUCUUCAAUCCUUUUAUUUUCUAUGAGUAUUGACUUAGAUCUCUCCAUAAUCUCUUCUCUUGUGAGUUCACUUUGUUUCUAAAGCACAAGUUCCGCAUAAAUAUGAAACUAUGGUUUCU
rnacentral:lncRNA from 1 species